UGGUGAUCGGACAUCUCAAAUCAUGAGUGGCAGACAUCCUUCUUGAAAAUGAGGUAGGAUCAGAUGCUAAAAUACGGAAAGAACAAGUUAACAAUUACUUAGACAACUUAGAUAUUUCCAAGACACCAGGUCCUGAUGAAAUACAUACUAGACUACUCAAAGAGCUGACUGAGGAGAUAUGAGCCAUUAGUGAAUAUCUUUGAAAAGACAUGGAAGAUUGGAGAGAGUCCAGAGGACUGGAAAAGGGCAAAUGUAGUGCCCAUCUAUAAAAAGAAAAAUAAGGACAACCCAUGGAAUUACAGACCUGACUGCUUAACUUCA